UACGUAGGUCCCGAGCGUUGUCCGGAUUUAUUGGGCGUAAAGCGAGCGCAGGUGGUUUAAUAAGUCUGAUGUAAAAGGCAGUGGCUCAACCAUUGUGUGCAUUGGAAACUGUUAGACUUGAGUGCAGUAGAGGAGAGUGGAAUUCCAUGUGUAGCGGUGAAAUGCGUAGAUAUAUGGAGGAACACCGGUGGCGAAAGCGGCUCUCUGGACUGUAACUGACACUGAGGUUCGAAAGCGUGGGUAGCAAACAGG
rnacentral:rRNA from 1 species